rnacentral:rRNA from 1 species
AAACGUAGGACGCAAGCGUUAUCCGGAGUUACUGGGCGUAAAGCGCGGGCAGGCGGUCUUGCCAGUCUGAUGUGAAAUCUCUCAGCUCAACUGGGAGCAGCCAUUGGAAACUACAAGACUGGAGUCUGGCAGAGGUAGGCGGAAUUCCGGGUGGAGUGGUGAAAUGCGUAGAGAUCCGGAGGAACACCAGAGGCGAAGGCGGCCUACUGGGCCAGUACUGACGCUGAGCCGCGAAAGCCAGGGGAGCGGAACGGG